rnacentral:rRNA from 1 species
GGGAACCUGCGGAAGGAUCAUYRSCUAGMGKUUGUAGACUUCGGUCUGCUACCUCUUACCCAUGUCUUUUGAGUACCUUCGUUUCCUCGGCGGGUCCGCCCGCCGAUUGGACAACAUUCAAACCCUUUGCAGUUGCAAUCAGCGUCUGAAAAAACAUAAUAGUUACAACUUUCAACAACGGAUCUCUUGGUUCUGGCAUCGAUGAAGAACGCAGCGAAAUGCGAUAAGUAGUGUGAAUUGCAGAAUUCAGUGAAUCAUCGAAUCUUUGAACGCACAUUGCGCCCCUUGGUAUUCCAUGGGGCAUGCCUGUUCGAGCGUCAUUUGUACCUUCAAGCUCUGCUUGGUGUUGGGUGUUUUGUCUCGCCUCUGCGUGUAGACUCGCCUUAAAACAAUUGGCAGCCGGCGUAUUGAUUUCGGAGCGCAGUACAUCUCGCGCUUUGCACUCAUAACGGCGACGUCCAAAAGUACAUUUUUACACUCUUGACCUCGGAUCAGGUAGGGAUACCCGCYGAACUUAAGCAUAUCAAUAAGCGGGAGGAA